rnacentral:rRNA from 1 species
CCUACGGGUGGCUGCAGUGAGGAAUAUUGGUCAAUGGUCGGGAGACUGAACCAGCCAUGCCGCGUGAGGGAUGAAGGUACAGAGUAUUGUAAACCUCUUUUGUAAGGGGACAAAGGCAGGGACGCGUAUCCGGCUGAGAGUAUCUGAAGAAUAAGCAUCGGCUAACUCCGUGCCAGCAGCCGCGGUAAUACGGAGGAUGCGAGCGUUAUCCGGAUUUAUUGGGUUUAAAGGGUGCGUAGGCGGUCGGGUAAGUUAGAGGUGAAAUCCCGGGGCUCAACUCCGGGACUGCCUCUGAUACUGGUCGUCUCGAGUGGAGGAGAGGUAGGCGGAAUGUGUGGUGUAGCGGUGAAAUGCAUAGAGAUCGUACAGAACACCGAUUGCGAAGGCAGCUUGCCGG